CACAGGGAGACAAAGGUUUUCUAGGACUUCCAGGUCCUCUGGCGUCUGCAGGUCAUCCAGGACCAGAUGGUCAUGCUGGUCCUUCAGGCCCAAAGGGAAACCAUGGGACCAGUGGACUUGUGGGGCCCAAAGGCGAUCCGGGACCCGAAGGAAAAGAAGGAUUUGC